UGAGUUGCUAGAUCUACCUCUUGGGAUUAUGUUUGAAUAGGGUGCAAGUGUGUGGGUUGUGAUAGAUUUGUGUAGAUUUUAGUUUGUUGAUAAUAGUUUUGUUAUUGCUUGAUUAAAUAGGUUGGAAUUUGUAGGUGAAAGCCCCAAUCACCCCAAAUGGGUUUGAUGGGUGAAAACCCCAAGCUCUUGAAAGCUCAAUGUCAUCUUCAAAAGAAGGGUUUUGGGUGAAGUUUAGGAAUCCAUAUCAUCCUCGAAAGAAGGAUGUGAAGACCAAAGCAAUCGUAGACAAUUAUGUGUGUAGUUUACGAAUCUAUCAUUAUCUUAGACGUAAGGGUGGUUGUGAAGUUAACUAUGCCAUGGGUUUCAUACUAGAAAUAGGGAUUCCCAAUUGGGGUAUUGGGUUGUUUUGCUUGACACUUUUUUUAGGUGCUCGAAAGAGCCAAUGAGUGAAAUCUUUGUGGUUUUGUCGAAAGACUAUCCUCAAGGACGGUAGACCUAGUCUACCGUAUCAUCAUAAUUAGAAUUUACAUCAAAUUGUCAUGUUCCCAUGCACAUCUUGCCCCUAGGAAAGCAUAGUCCCAAGAUUCAUUUUAAUUGAUUACACUCUAAUUGAUCUUAGUCUCAAAUUAGUCCCUUAGAAGCCCAACAAUUGCAUUCGCAUUCGACAUGAUUAAACCCCCUCCCCACCCCCCCAUUUUAUCUUUUUGUAUCAUUUGUUUAAAUUUAACUUAUAACUAUAAUUUUGAAUUAGUUUAAUCGUCACUCACAUUGUUCCUCGUGGAUUCGACCCCGACUCCAAAGUUAGGUAAAUAUAUUGAUGACAACCGCCUUGCACUAAAUUGACGUAUAAGUUGAGCGUUAUCAAAAAUGGCGCCAUUGCUGGGGAACAAUUUGGCGUAUCAAGUUAGAUUGGAAUUUUAGCUUACUUGCUUUAAUUCAAACUUGUAAAUAUUUGUUUGUGAUCUUCUUUGUUUCUUGUGUUAGGUAGAUUUUCUUUAUUUCUUACUACGGCAUCAAGGAAUGAAUGUGAGUUUGGUGGUUGGAAAUAUUACCGUGAUAGUCCAUGUCCAUAUUGUGAUGAGCCCAACUUUUGGUGAGAUUGUAGAUAUGCUCCUCGGAAAGAGAUGUGUGCACCGUCUGUCUCUUAUAGGGAGUAUGAUUGUUCUUUAUGUGGUGGUCGAGAUGGACAUUGGAGCGAUUGUCCAAAUGCCCCUGCCCCUCGGUAUUCUAACUCAAAUGCUAGUUCUUAUGAUUUUGAUAGGUCUUAUGGUCAAGAAAAGAAAGAACGAAGCACCGAAAAAAGUGGCAUUGAAACUAUGCUUCAGAUAAUCUUGGAUCGUUUAGAAUCAAUGGGAGAUAACAUACAUGAUAUACAUCAGGACAUGGAGUAUGUAAUGAGGAAAGAGAGAUGAUAGAAGAGAUGGAUGUGGAGGUCAAUCAUUCAAACACCACAACUAUGCCCGCUCUUCUAAACGAGCUUGAUGUUGAGGAAUCCUCGGUGGAUUCCCCACCAACCGAACCAACCAUGAGGGAUGAUGCCAAGAUUGAGUAAAUGGUGCUAGAGUCAAAAGAAGAAACCAACCAAAUCUCUUAUGAAGACGCUAGCCCAAUUUGGGGUGAAGAUGUCGAGAAGGAUGCAACCCCAAAAUUAGGGAGAAGACCUCACUCCAACCACUUUUCAACAUUAUGCUUGGCAGAUAUGAUGAAAGUCGAACCACCCAAGCAAAUGAUGAAUUUUGAAGAUGAGGAGGAAAAUCCCUACAUUUUGGAGUUUGUCAUUCCAAAAGGGCAAAAUAAAGCCCCUCACUUGAAGGCCAAUUAAUGCAAAAUUCGGUGUGUAACAAGUGAAUUUUUAAUGCUCUCGCCAAUACCCAACGAGCCUAUUAGAAAGUUUGUUGUGAAGUUGGGUAAAAGGUUUAAAACUUCAAGGUGGUGAGAUAGAAAAUAUUUCAUUGUGUCCUUACCUUUGCCUAAAAUGCCUCAAAGAUGUAUUGAUCUAAAGUUGGGCAGCCGUUUCAAGUCUUCCAAAUGGAGACACAAAUUUGAUAGGCAAAAGGAUAUCGUGCCGCGAAGUUAACUAAGGCGCUUCUUGGGAGGCAACCCAAGAUUUAUUUUUGAUGUUUUUAAUAUUUUUGAUACAAAUUUUAGCUAAAUUUUAGUUGUUGCAGGUGAUUUUAUGAAAUUUGAGGUGUGAGAAGAUUGAUUCGGAGACUUGAAACUAAGCUCCGAACCAAAUUUUUCUUAAUGGGUUCUAAAGAUUUUCAUUCACAUUUUAGUUUAGUGUUGUUUGAUGCAGGUGAUAGAAUAAGAUUUGGGCGCGAGAAACUUGACUCGGAGGCUCAAAACUAAGCUCCGAACCAUGCACAUGUGAAGGAAAGUUCAGUCUUAAAACUGGAACAACUUGCGCUGGGAAUGCUUCAGCAUUCCAGGCACAAUUUCAAGGCACUUCAGACGCAGACAAGGCAAUUGUUUCUGUGGUAAUAUGCACUGGAAAUGCUAGCACAUUCCAGGCGCAUUUCAAGCACAUUUUGGGUGCAAAUUGGAGCCAAAAAUCUGGUCAGUUUCUUCCUGGAAAUGAGAUGGAAAUGCUGCAGCAUUCCAGACGUAUUUCUAUCACAGAAGUUGAGAAAAAAACUGGUCAGUCUCUGAUUUGAACUGUGCUGGAAAUGCUGCAGGAUUCCAGGCGCAGUUUUGGCACAUUUCAGACACAAUUUUAAGCCAAAAUCCAGUAACUUUCUGCUCCAAUAUGAUCUGGAAAUGCUAUAACAUUCCAGGCGCAGUUCACCUUAAAAGCUACUGUGAUGUUGUAAAAAUGGAUUGGUUAAGUGGGAUGACCCGACCCAGUCAGCCCAAACUCAAUUUAAACGCUUAAAGAAAGCCCAAAACAGUGAAAUUUUCCAUUCUUCCAUUAAAGUUAUUUUCCAACAUUCCCUUUCUCUCACACUAAAUUUUUCUCUCUUUCUUUGUCAACAAUUAAACUAGCAAGAAUUGUAAUAACUACUAUGGACUUGAUCUUCAUCUUUCUCCUAUCUUAACUCAACAAAGAUAUGUCUUCACAAAAGAACUUGCCACGAGAGGCUCCUAUUGAGACAGGAGACAAAAGAACUUACCACAGGGAGUCUCUACCCUCCUCUACUCUCUUUUAUUUUUGCAUUGGGGAUAAUGCUAUGUCUUUAGUGAGGGUGGGACACUUCUAUGUGAUCGGUACUUACUGUCUCAUUUUAUGGCAUGUGGUUUGAUGGAUUGUGGAGAGAUAUUCUAUUCUAUUACGUUGAUGUUUGUGUACUUUAGUAGAUGUUUUAGUACGUUUAUAGCAUUUAAUUAAUUAUUCGCAUUGCUCUUGUCGCCUUUGUAUAUACGUGUUCAAUAAACUCCAACGAUUUUCUUUGAAACUCGGUUCUUUCCUAAGGAGCAAAAAUUUUUACUUUUUUCUUUUUCUUUUCUUUUGAUCUUGUAAUUUGAUUUUUAGUAUAGUUUGUUUGUCGAACCGAGUGAUAAUUCACCCAUGAUGGAUGACAAGGUGACAUCUUUAGGUGAAAUAUCUUGUCAUUGUGAUUAACUAGGAAGAAGCAAAAAUUGAGAAACUUUCCAAAAGUCAUUGGCAAAGAAUAAAUUGUUUUUGGAGAAAAAUCAAAAAUAUAGUUUUAAGAUCAAGGAUGUUUUGAGAAUUCUUUUGAGUGAGACCAUUAAACUCAAUUUCUGGAUCUCUCUUUACAAGGAUGAGUCAUUGACUCGGAGUAACUUACGAAGCUCAAAUUGCUCAAAUUGAUUGGGAAAUUAACUUUUUACUCUAUGAGUACGAUGCCAUGAGUGGUGAGAUUUUUUUCAUCAUUCGUGUGCAUAUGUGUAGUCUAGAACUUUCCCCAAGUGUAUCCAAAGCGAAAUCCUAGACAAGCUUGGUUUGGAGGAUGACUUGAGGCCCUUUUUGACCUGUCACAUAGCCAAAUGCCCUCCUUAACAUUGUUCCCUAGCUAACCCAUUUGAACAUUUUUGCCCGUAUUUCUUUCUUAUUGUAAUGAUAACCAUGCUAAAACACCUAAGCCCUUUUCAAAAUUGCUCGUUUGGCACCUAACCUCGUUUGAUGCAUUGCAUGAUUCAAAAUAGUGAAUUAUAGGCAAAAGACUAAGUUUGGAGGGUUGUGUAUUCAGAAGAAGAAAAUCAAAGGAAAGAUAAAAAAAAAAAAAGGUGUAUGUAAGGUUGUCA